GGUUCUGUGGUCUAGUGUUCGUCUUUCCGCUCUCUCCAUAUCUCGUUUCCCUUGCUAAUCAUUUCCUAGGGUAUGAUUCUCGCUUAGGGACAACCUAAGUAUAUUUGCGAGAGGCCCCGUGUUCGAGUCACGGCAGAAGUA